UAAAUACCAGAUACACAUCCUUUAUUUCCACCCGAAAAUACACCAGACAGCAUCGUAUCAGAACAACAAAAGAAGGAAUAUUGCUGUGUUUAUUUUGUUCCCAAACAAGAAUUAGUGAACGUAACAACAACACGGCCAAGAUGAAUGUAAGAGCACCGGUAACAAGCUGGUUCACCCAUGAAGCGAUUAAAUCAAGUGCAGUGUUCACUACUUGGAUGCAAACGCAACAAGCUUACAAUGGCCGUUGCUUUCCAAGACAAAAUUAUAUCAGUAACUAGAGCCACCACUGCACAUGCUUCGCUCUAUUUACAUCAUAGCACGACGCAUCAUGAGGUAGAUCCUUUGCUGCCCGUAGUCAUGAAAGAUUCACCACAUCCACAUUCCCCUUUCGAGUUCGGGUUUAUGAACACAAACUCCGACCUGCAACACAAGGCACCAUUUACUAACCAACAAGAGGUGAACCAAUGGAGGUGGAAGACAAGAAAGUUCUGCACAGAAACUAGAGACCAGACCUCAGUGGAUCGUCAACGAAGUCCAUCUUGGUGCCAAUCACAUGCAUCAGGGCCUUGGGGUCAAUCAGUACUUUCACACCUUUCUCUUCAACAAGCUCAUCGAACUUCCCUUUUUCUU
rnacentral:lncRNA from 1 species